rnacentral:rRNA from 1 species
AAGUUUGAUUCCUGGCUCAGAUUGAACGCUGGCGGCAGGCCUAACACAUGCAAGUCGAGCGGUAACAGGCCCUUCGGGGUGCUGACGAGCGGCGGACGGGUGAGUAAUGCAUAGGAAUCUACCCGGUAGUGGGGGAUAACCUGGGGAAACCCAGGCUAAUACCGCAUACGUCCUACGGGAGAAAGCAGGGGACCUUUUGGCCUUGCGCUAUUGGAUGAGCCUAUGUCGGAUUAGCUGGUUGGUGAGGUAACGGCUCACCAAGGCGACGAUCCGUAGCUGGUCUGAGAGGAUGAUCAGCCACAUCGGGGCUGAGACACGGCCCGAACUCCUACGGGAGGCAGCAGUGGGGAAUAUUGGACAAUGGGCGCAAGCCUGAUCCAGCCAUGCCGCGUGUGUGAAGAAGGCUUUCGGGUUGUAAAGCACUUUCAGUGAGGAAGAACGCCUCGUGUCCAAUACCCACGAGGAAAGACAUCACUCACAGAAGAAGCACCGGCUAACUCCGUGCCAGCAGCCGCGGUAAUACGGAGGGUGCAAGCGUUAAUCGGAAUUACUGGGCGUAAAGCGCGCGUAGGCGGCCAAGUAAGCCGGUUGUGAAAGCCCCGGGCUCAACCUGGGAAUGGCAUCCGGAACUGUUUGGCUAGAGUG